rnacentral:tRNA from 1 species
GAAGUAGUAGCUCAGUUGGUUAGAGCAUUGUUCUGAUAUGCCAAGGUUCUGGGUUCAAUCCCCAGUCA